rnacentral:rRNA from 1 species
UACGUAGGUGGCGAGCGUUGUCCGGAUUUACUGGGCGUAAAGGGAGCGUAGGCGGACUUUUAAGUGAGAUGUGAAAUACCCGGGCUCAACUUGGGUGCUGCAUUUCAAACUGGAAGUCUAGAGUGUAGGAGAGGAGAAUGGAAUUCCUAGUGUAGCGGUGAAAUGCGUAGAGAUUAGGAAGAACACCAGUGGCGAAGGCGAUUCUCUGGACUGUAACUGACGCUGAGGCUCGAAAGCGUGGGGAGCAAACAGGAUUAGAUACCCUGGUA